GCAAGGAAUGGGGAUCUUCAUUUCUAUUGGUCGAAGGCCAUGUCCAAUGGACUUCAAGAAGGCUACCCGAGGCCUUAUUAGAAAUUAGGGUUUGUCUUUCAAAGUCAUUUGAGCUUUGGAGGCUAGGAUCAACAAGUUUAGGAUUUUGGGUAUAAUUUGGGCGAAGAGUUUGUGUGAUUUUGAGUUUUUGUGAAGGAGAUUUAGGUGUUCAAAGUUAAGGUGUUAAUUUAAGACAUAUUGUUACUCUUUUGAAAAUACGAGGAGUUGUACCAUAGCUUUUGAAGA
rnacentral:lncRNA from 1 species